CUUCAAAAUCUAUGGUGCUGAUGACCGCCUGUGAGAGGUGAUAUCCUGUGAGAGGCUGGGAAGGGGAGUGUCCGUUUGAGCUGGAAGGCUGCCUGGAGGAGGUGUGGCUUGAACUGGGCUUGAGCAGUGGGAAGGAUUUGGAGAGCGGAGGAAUGAAGGAGAGCAGAGAGGAGAGGCUUGGAGAUCAUUCUCCUCUGGGUCUCUGCUCACAGACCUUCCAUCAAGAAAUUCACUACAGUGUGUUGGAACAGUCUAUGUACCUGACUACCACACAAGGGCUGUUGUAAGGAUCAAAUGGCAUCAUGAAUGGAGGGUACCAAGUCCUGCACCCAGCCUGCAGUGACUAGCACCUGCUCCCUGCUGAACAUGGUGGCUGGGGCUGGACAUGGUCCUUGGGGGUGUGAUCUGAGCAGCCUGCAGCAUUCUGGGCCUUUCAACUGCCGCAUCCUGGUACCAGUCUCAUGCUUCCUGGUACCCUACAGAUGGCUGUCUCCUGGUGGAGUCACCAGGUUGGAGGGGUCCUCAGAAUGCCAACAGAACAGAGCAGCCCUGAGCUCCGGCACCUGUCACUGUGGCUUGACUGGAUACAUAUCUCCAGACCAAGGCAAGCAUCUCUGGCAGAACCCACUGUGGAGAUCCUAAAUUGGCACCCCGUAGAGUGAGCUGUCUGAUUCUACAAAGGCAGUAUUUCUAGGUUUCAAAGGAACUGAAUAAUUUAAAAUGCACAAGACAAAAAGUGGGAUUAAGGUGAUCUGAUAGGCUCUCCAGGCUGGGGUAUCAAUUAUACUCUCAACUCGUAAAGCCUUAUUUGUGAGAUUCAGAAUUUAUUAUCUGUCUGAAGCACUAAUUACCAGGUUUCUCUCUUUUAAUUUUACAGGUCUCUUCUCAGAUUUAUUUUUCUCUUUUUUCCCUCCCACUGGGGACAAAUAGCUUCCAUUCCUGAAGGGAAGUUGCCUGCUUGGAGAUGGACAGAGGAAGAUAUUUGGGUUCAGCUUAUCCCCUCUGGGCACUUUGGGGGAAGCAGCAUGGGUUGGGGCAGGAGAACUCUAAUGUGUAUGUGUUAAUAAACUUACUGUUUUCUAAAAUUUUGUCAAAGGUAUGCAUGUUUAUAGUUUAAAGAGGUGAAGAGUUCCAUGUGGCCUACUGUAUUUUUCCUUCCUUGUAUAACUUUUAUUUUCCUAGGAGCUAAUAACUAUCUUGUUCUUUUGUUUGCUUGCCUUUCUCUGUACUUAUCACUAAUUCAACUCCAGAGUCUUUACUGAUUGCCUAUUCCAAUAUUUUCACCCACAUCAGGUGCUCUAUCAAUUUCAUUGUCCUGAAGAGUUUCCCUGACAGCCUUCUGACCUGG
rnacentral:lncRNA from 1 species